rnacentral:lncRNA from 1 species
AAGACACUUGGCAAGGCAAUGCAAUUUUUAUUUUAAUUUGCUCUAUCUCAUAAAUCGGUACUUUCUGUAGGUGGUACGACUCUUUGCAAUAUACAAUAUGAGAGCAUAUAGUGACAUGAGAAUUGGUCUUGCCUAUAUCCUCCUUCAGGAAGCUUGUUUCUAUUAUCUCACCAAAACACCUAGAGAACAAUUGUUGUUAAUUGUUG